rnacentral:misc_RNA from 1 species
CGCAUAUUGCGCCCUUUGGCAUUCCGAAGGGCAUGCCUGUUCGAGCGUCAUUACACCCCUCAAACCUAGCUGUUUGAUGUUGGGCACUGCCAGCCUAGGCAGGCCUUAAAAUGAGCGACGGUUCCAGCCAACCUCAAGCGUGCAAGUAUCGUUAUGGGCGCAGGUUGGGGCCUGUCUUUAACCAAAUCAUACCUAAACGUUGACCUCGGAUCAGGUAGGGAUACCCGCUGAACUUAA